UCCCUGGUGGUCUAGUGGUCAGGAUUCGGCGCUCUCACCGCCGCGGCGGCCCGGGUUCGAUUCCCGGUCAGGAAA